GACGAACGCUGGCGGCGUGCUUAACACAUGCAAGUCGAGCGGAAAGGCCCUUCGGGGUACUCGAGCGGCGAACGGGUGAGUAACACGUGAGUAACCUGCCUCUGACUCUGGGAUAAGCCUGGGAAACUGGGUCUAAUACCGGAUAUGACGCACUCCGGCAUCGGAUGUGUGUGGAAAGUUUUUUCGGUUGGGGAUGGGCUCGCGGCCUAUCAGCUUGUUGGUGGGGUAGUGGCCUACCAAGGCGACGACGGGUAGCCGGCCUGAGAGGGCGACCGGCCACACUGGGACUGAGACACGGCCCAGACUCCUACGGGAGGCAGCAGUGGGGAAUAUUGCGUAAUGGGCGGAAGCCUGACGCAGCGACGCCGCGUGGGGGAUGACGGCCUUCGGGUUGUAAACCUCUUUCAGCAGGGACGAAGUUGACAUGUACCUGUAGAAGAAGCGCCGGCUAACUACGUGCCAGCAGCCGCGGUAA
rnacentral:rRNA from 1 species